rnacentral:rRNA from 1 species
GAUGAACGCUGGCGGCGUGCCUAAUACAUGCAAGUCGAGCGAAUGACGAGGAGCUUGCCCCUCUGAUUUAGCGGCGGACGGGUGAGUAACACGUGGGUAACCUGCCUGUAAGACGGGGAUAACUCCGGGAAACCGGAGCUAAUACCGGAUGAUAACGAGAAGCGCCUGCUUCUUUUUUGAAAGUCGGUUUCGGCUGACGCUUACAGAUGGGCCCGCGGCGCAUUAGCUAGUUGGUGAGGUAACGGCUCACCAAGGCGACGAUGCGUAGCCGACCUGCGAGGGUGAUCGGCCACACUGGGACUGAGACACGGCCCAGACUCCUACGGGAGGCAGCAGUAGGGUAUCUUCCACAAUGGACGAAAGUCUGAUGGAGCAACGCCGCGUGAGCGAUGAAGGCCUUCGGGUCGUAAAGCUCUGUUGCUAGGGAAGAACAAGUACCGGAGUAACUGCCGGUACCUUGACGGUACCUAACCAGAAAGCCACGGCUAACUACGUGCCAGCCGCCGCCGUAAUAC